GGACUACAAGGGUAUCUAAUCCUGUUCGCUCCCCACGCUUUCGCGCCUCAGUGUCAGUAUCAAUCCAGGAAGCCGCCUUCGCCACUGGUGUUCCUUCCGAUAUCUACGCAUUUCACCGCUACACCGGAAAUUCCACUUCCCUCUAUCGUACUCUAGUUAAACAGUCCUGCCUGCAAUUCCCAGGUUAAGCCCAGGGAUUUCACAAACAACUUAUCCAACCACCUACGCGCCCUUUACGCCCAGUAAUUCCGAUUAACGCUCGCACCCUCUGUAUUACCGCGGCUGCUGGCAC
rnacentral:rRNA from 1 species